rnacentral:rRNA from 1 species
AUGGGUGUUCAUCAAGUGCUUAAACGAUGGCAUGGAUGCAAGUUUUGGUAUUGGGAGAAAGAGUACAUCGAUAUAUUGAUAGAGCGAAAUUUAGUACAUGUUCGUGCACUUUUAGCUAGCAUAGAGGCUGUAAAUGAGACAAGUGCACUUGUUGCUAGAUUAGAGGCUAGACACGAGACUAGGUGUGAGGAAGCAACAUUGACUUCUGGCUUGAAGAAGAAAGGAGGAUGCCAGAUCGAGCCUCCACAGAUCAACAAUGAGUGCAUCGAGAAGACCCUAACCCAACUCAAGGGAGCAGUUAUGGAAGUUGGGUAUCUUCUAAAAUGUAUUCUUGUGGUUCUUGUUUUCUUUGGUCUUGCUUUACUAGUCAAAAUGUGA